UACGAAGGGGGCUAGCGUUGCUCGGAAUCACUGGGCGUAAAGCGCACGUAGGCGGAUCUUUAAGUCAGGGGUGAAAUCCUGGAGCUCAACUCCAGAACUGCCUUUGAUACUGGGGAUCUCGAGUCCGGAAGAGGUGAGUGGAACUCCGAGUGUAGAGGUGAAAUUCGUAGAUAUUCGGAAGAACACCAGUGGCGAAGGCGGCUCACUGGUCCGGUACUGACGCUGAGACGCGAAAGCGUGGGGAGCGAACAGG
rnacentral:rRNA from 1 species